rnacentral:rRNA from 1 species
UUGCUCCUCUGACGUUAGCGGCGGACGGGUGAGUAACACGUGGAUAACCUACCUAUAAGACUGGGAUAACUUCGGGAAACCGGAGCUAAUACCGGAUAAUAUAUUGAACCGCAUGGUUCAAUAGUGAAAGACGGUUUUGCUGCCACUUAUAGAUGGAUCCGCGCCGCAUUAGCUAGUUGGUAAGGUAACGGCUUACCAAGGCGACGAUGCGUAGCCGACCUGAGAGGGUGAUCGGCCACACUGGAACUGAGACACGGUCCAGACUCCUACGGGAGGCAGCAGUAGGGAAUCUUCCGCAAUGGGCGAAAGCCUGACGGAGCAACGCCGCGUGAGUGAUGAAGGUCUUCGGAUCGUAAAACUCUGUUAUUAGGGAAGAACAAAUGUGUAAGUAACUAUGCACGUCUCGACGGUACCUAAUCAGAAAGCCACGGCUAACUACGUGCCAGCAGCCGCGGUAAUACGUAGGUGGCAAGCGUUAUCCGGAAUUAUUGGGCGUAAAGCGCGCGUAGGCGG